rnacentral:rRNA from 1 species
GGACUACAAGGGUUUCUAAUCCCGUUCGCUCCCCUGGCUUUCGCGUCUCAGCGUCAGAAAGGGUCCAGGACCUCGCUUUCGCCACGGGCGUUCCUUCCGAUCUCAACGCAUUUCACCGCUCCACCGGAAGUUCCAGGUCCCCCUACCCCCCUCAAGACCGCCCGUAUCGGCGCCCGUUCCCCGGUUGAGCCGGGGGAUUUCAACGGCCGACGCAGCGGUCCGCCUACACGCGCUUUAAGCCCAGUGAUUCCGAAUAACGUUCGCACGGUUCGUCUUACCGCGGCUGCUGGCAC